rnacentral:tRNA from 1 species
CCAUAGGUAGUUCAGUGGUAGAACUCUCGUCUUUCAUGCAGGAGGCAUGGGUUUGAUUCCCGGCCGAUGCA